CCAGAGUGGGCCUCGCUCAGCAGGACGCGCCUUUCACCGCCCCUCAUUGCAUCGCCCGGUACACCAGCCAGGUGCCCAAGCGAAACGUGCAAGAUCAGAUGCUCAAUUCUCAAGUUACGACGGCACAACACAUGGAGCGAGAGAAGGCUUAUGAUAUUAUAGCAUCAUUGUUGAAAAUUCCGUUCUUGGAUGAGGAGGUCACGAACAGCAGCUCUUUCCAGCGCAAGAUGGGACGUGUUGACGCUUAUAAUCCACAGAAUGGUAGGAAAGAUUCAGUCUUUUCUUGGACGGAUGUGUAUGAGAGGCAAAGUUCGACUCUGGUAGCAG